rnacentral:rRNA from 1 species
GACGAACGCUGGCGGCGUGCCUAAUACAUGCAAGUCGAGCGGAUGAAAGAGGAGCUUGCUCCUCUAGAUUCAGCGGCGGACGGGUGAGUAACACGUGGGCAACCUGCCCUGUAGAUUGGGAUAACUCCGGGAAACCGGGGCUAAUACCGAAUAAUCCUUCGGACCUCAUGGUCCGAUGUUGAAAGACGGUUUCGGCUGUCACUACAGGAGGGGCCGGCGGCGCAUUAGCUAGUUGGUGAGGUAACGGCUCAGCAAGGCCACGAUGCGUAGCCGACCUGAGAGGGUGAUCGGCCACACUGGGACUGAGACACGGCCCAGACUCCUACGGGAGGCAGCAGUAGGGAAUCUUCCACAAUGGACGAAAGUCUGAUGGAGCAACGCCGCGUGAGUGAAGAAGGUUCUCGGAUCGUAAAACUCUGUUGUGAGGGAAGAACAAGUACCGGAGUAACUGCCGGUGCCUUGACGGUACCUCAUUAGAAAGCCACGGCUAACUACGUGCCAGCCGCCGCGGUAA